rnacentral:rRNA from 1 species
UACGAAGGGGGCUAGCGUUGUUCGGAAUUACUGGGCGUAAAGCGCGCGUAGGCGGAUCGCUAAGUCAGGGGUGAAAUCCCACGGCUCAACCAUGGAAGUGCAUUCGAAACUGCGUAGCUAGAGUUUUGGAGAGGAAGGCGGAAUACUCGGUGUAGAGGUGAAAUUCGUAGAUAUCGAGUGGAACACCGGUGGCGAAGGCGGCCUUCUGGACAAUGACUGACGCUGGAACGCGAAAGCGUGGGGAGCGAACGGG